rnacentral:lncRNA from 1 species
AGGUUAUUGAAUGAAAAAAUUGGGUGUGCUGUCUGGUAAAUUCACGGGUUACACGUCUAAGACUUUGCUUCUUAAUUGAGUUUUACUUUCCCAUGCCUGGUUAAGUCUGAGCUUGUUCAUUGCAUUACGUGCACGUGACCGCUGACUUGUCAUGAAGAGAGUCCGCUAUUUGCAAGACAAUUGAGGUGAAAAGAGGAAACUUGAAAAGGAAAUGCUGAUUAGUGACAUCUUAUUUCGGGCUUCCAUGUAAUUGAGACAGCUUUUGUGAAUAGUUUUUUGUUGGGUUCCUUGUUCAGUUUGAGCUGUUAAUGGUGUUGUCUGGUGUGCAGUGGUUUUGCAGUUAUUCAGUCGAGAGAUGGCCUGAAAUGGGUGAUCAACUGCCGAGACUUCCCUUACUUCAUGGUCUUUUUCUAUGGAGAUGCUGUCCUAGAAGGUUUAGCUUGGCCAUUGCAGGCAACUUUCUCUCUUGACAUUAUUAGUCUUCAAAAUGUGGUUUAAUUUCUACGGUCAUGAGGUCUGCCGUACAUUUUAUCCAAAAUGUCGUCUCUUGGUUCAUGUAGCACGUUUCGUCACAUUCGGAAAAUUUCAUGACUUGUUUGAAGUAAAUUGAGUUAUUAGUUUUCAAGUAACAGCCUGGUGAAGUCAAGCUUUUUCAUUGCGUUACGUGUACGCGAUCGCUGCCGUUUAAUGAAGGUUCUCUAAGAGGGUCUCUACCACAUUGCAAGACAACAUUGUGAUGGAAAUAGGAAAUCUGACAUAAUAACAAUUUUUCCAUGUUCAGUUUGAUGUUCGAGCUUUUUGUUGUGGCGGUUACGUGCGCAGUGAUUUUCCAGGAGAGGUGUUAAAAAGGUGCUUGUGCAGACUUGCAUUAGUCAUGUUGGCUUUAGAGUUUUUCCAGGGACAAAGCACCUGAUGUUGGCAACAUGGCAAUCAUAUGCCACUGAGCCUGACUUAAUGUUCUCUGGACACUGUCAGUUAAAUUGUUCGUGACCAAUGCGGAACUCCAACAUUCUUCUUCACAAAUAUCUCAUAAAGGAUUAGUGGCUUGGUGAGGUUGAGCUUUAUCAUGGCAGUUGAAUGUCCAUAUGGACUUGUUGCAGAUAGCUGGUGAAGGGUGUGGUGAGCUGGUGCGUGACGACCAUGGGCUGGUGCGGGAAAGUGCUGCACGCUGUCUGCGGCUUCCAUCGUCAGAUGUAUGAGCUAAUUAUGUUGUUGCUCUUUGGUAUGCAGUUCAUGUUCAGCCAGCUGGUGAAAGGGAGUCCAAGUCGAGUUGAGCUGCAGCUUUUGAAGCAGUUAACAAUGCUCGUGUUAUUCCAAAAUGUAACAUCAAUGAAGACAUCUUGAAAUGGUCUUGGUGACGAUGCAAUCAUCCAUCUUCUGCAUGGAUUUUAUGUUAUCAAGAAGUGGAGAAGUAAGACUUGAAGCAAAGCUGCAAGAAAAGAAAUGGUAUUGACGUUAAUGUGCAGUGGUUUUGCAGUCCGACUCCUUUUCAAGCUGUUGCUUUCCUGAAUUUUGCCGGAGUCUUUGAAGUAGCUGAUCCUGUCAUCCUGAAGUUAUGAUGCCGGGGUUAUCCUGGAGUAGCUGUUGUUGGUGUCUGAAGUUACUGUGGCAGUUCAAUUCGGGUUGA